GACGAACGCUGGCGGCGUGCUUAACACAUGCAAGUCGAACGGUGAAGCGCCUUCCUUUUUGGUGGGUGUGGAUGAGUGGCGAACGGGUGAGUAACACGUGAGUAACCUGCCCCCUUCUUCUGGAUAACCGCAUGAAAGUGUGGCUAAUACGGGAUAUUCUGGGUCUGUCGCAUGAUGGGUCUGGGAAAGAUAUUGUUUCGGUGGGGGAUGGGCUCGCGGCCUAUCAGCUUGUUGGUGGGGUGAUGGCCUACCAAGGCGGUGACGGGUAGCCGGCCGGAGAGGGUGGACGGUCACACUGGGACUGAGACACGGCCCAGACUCCUACGGGAGGCAGCAGUGGGGAAUAUUGCACAAUGGGCGCAAGCCUGAUGCAGCGACGCCGCGUGAGGGAUGGAGGCCUUCGGGUGGUGAACCUCUUUCGCCAGUGAAGCAGGCCUGCCUCGUUUGUGGGUGGGUUGACGGUAGCUGGAUAAGAAGCGCCGGCUAACUACGU
rnacentral:rRNA from 1 species